rnacentral:rRNA from 1 species
AGGACGAACGCUGGCGGCGUGCUUAACACAUGCAAGUCGAGCGGUAAGGCCUUUCGGGGUACACGAGCGGCGAACGGGUGAGUAACACGUGGGUGACCUGCCCUCCACUUUGGGAUAAGCCUUGGAAACGGGGUCUAAUACCGGAUAUGACCACAUGUCGCAUGGUGUGUGGUGGAAAGCGUUUAGUGGUGGGGGAUGGGCCCGCGGCCUAUCAGCUUGUUGGUGGGGUGAUGGCCUACCAAGGCGACGACGGGUA